rnacentral:rRNA from 1 species
UACGUAGGGGGCUAGCGUUGUCCGGAUUUAUUGGGCGUAAAGAGCGUGUAGGCGGCCAGGUAGGUCUGCUGUGAAAACUCGAGGCUCAACCUCGAGACGCCGAUGGAAACCCCCUGGCUAGAGUCCGGAAGAGGUGAGUGGAACUGCGAGUGUAGAGGUGAAAUUCGUAGAUAUUCGCAAGAACACCAGUGGCGAAGGCGGCUCACUGGUCGUAGUACGUGACGCUGAGGUGCGAAAGCGUGGGGAGCAAACAGG